ACUCAGUGUGUUGGUGUGUGUUUCAUGAUGUCCCUGCAGAUAUGCAAAACCAGUACACUGUGAGACUAGGUUUGUUUAGGUCACUGAAUGUGACACAACUUUAGUAUUUUCCCUCUGACAGGGCGCGUCCUGAAUGAAGACGUGGACGAUGAUGAGAGGAGACCCAUCUCAGGUAAUGGGAUGAGAGGGGGGGCUGCUGACUGACUCUUUGAAGGGCUCCUGUCGAUGUCUGAUGCAUGGUCUGUCUUAACUUUUCCAGUUGCUUCUCUGAGAGAGCCGACGGUGGAGUACUAUGAUGAUGUGACUGCUGAUGAUAAUGAGACCAACCUCGAUGAUAUCUUGAUAGAUGUACAAGGCUUACUGUUUGGUUCAGGAGAGAAGGAGACAGACAAGCAGCCAGAGACGUACGAUGAUGUCGAUGGUGACACCAUUGUGGAGAAGUCAUGUGACGUGACGGACUACGUCCUAGAGAACACAGGAUAUGAUGAUGUGGGAGACAGUGUUGAGGGACUCAUCUCAGAGUCUGUGAGAGAGGAGGGGCUGGAGUAUUAUGAUGACAUCAUCACUGAUGAGAUCGACCCUAAAAUGACCAAGGCAAUGGAAGAGAGAAAGCCUGCCAAUGGAGAAGAAGUGGAGUAUUAUGAUGACAUCACAAAUGAGGAGAAUUACCUUAAAUUGACAGCAGGUAUGGGACUUUAUUUUUUGAUAUUGAUAUCUCAUGAGCA
rnacentral:lncRNA from 1 species